GACGAGUCUCAAAUAGGACGAAAUGCGCAUCCUGGAU
rnacentral:hammerhead_ribozyme from 1 species